UACGUAGGGUGCGAGCGUUGUCCGGAAUUAUUGGGCGUAAAGAGCUCGUAGGCGGUGUGUCACGUCGGCCGUGAAAACCUGCAGCUUAACUGUGGGCGUGCGGUCGAUACGGGCAUCACUGGAGUUCGGCAGGGAGACUGGAAUUCCUGGUGUAGCGGUGAAAUGCGCAGAUAUCAGGAGGAACACCGGUGGCGAAGGCGGGUCUCUGGGCCGAUACUGACGCUGAGGAGCGAAAGCGUGGGGAGCAAACAGG
rnacentral:rRNA from 1 species